rnacentral:rRNA from 1 species
CUCCUCUUGUUAAAUAAGAGGUACCGUCUGCUCAAUGCAUAUUGUAAAUAGCCGCAGUAUUCUGACUGUGCUAAGGUAGCAUAAUCAUUAGUCUUUUAAUUGAAGGCUGGUAUGAAUGACGAGACGAGAAAGUAGCUGUCUCUAAAAUAAAUUUUCGAAUUUUACUUCUAAGUGAAAAGGCUUAGAUUUUUUUGAAGGACGAUCAGACCCUUUGGAGCUUUAUUCAUUUUAAAACCUUAGUUUUUAACAAAUGACUGGGUCGAAGAUGAAUUUUGUUGGGGCGACAGGGAGUAAAAAUAACACUCUUUUCUUAAAACAAUUAUUAUUGGAAAGUUGAUCCUCAAUGAGAGAUCAAAAGACUAAGUUACCCUAGGGAUAACAGCGUAAUCUUUUUGGAGAGUUCUAAUCGAUAAAAAGGUUUGCGACCUCGAUGUUGGAUUAAGAGAUUAGCAAGGUGCAGAAGUUUUGCUGGAGAGUCUGUUCGACUCU